UACAGAGGGUGCAAGCGUUUGUUCGGAAUUAUUGGGCGUAAAGCGCGUGUAGGCGGCCUGUGAAGUCGGGUGUGAAAGCCCUCGCUCUAACCGAGGAAGUGCGCCCGAAACUGCAUGGCUUGAGUACCGGAGAGGAUGGCGGAAUUCCCCAAGUAGAGGUGAAAUUCGUAGAUAUCGGGAGGAACACCGGUGGCGAAGGCGACCAUCUGGACGGAUACUGACGCUGAGACGCGAAAGCGUGGGUAGCAAACAGG
rnacentral:rRNA from 1 species